rnacentral:rRNA from 1 species
AUGACUGGUGACAAGAAUCUAUUGAUGGAUGCUCCCUUAUCACCAUCGCAUCUGAAGCAUAUCAUCUUCGCUGACAAAGGCAAAAGUCAGGUAUUGGGUCUAGGUAAGGUUGCGAUCACAAAGGAUCGACACAUGGACAAAGUCAUGUUUGUUGAGUCCUUAGGAUACAACCUCAUGUCUGUCUCAAUGCUUUGUGAUCUUGAUAUGGUUGUUGUCUUUGGCAAGUAUCGUUGUGUUGUGGUUAUGGAAGCUGACAAUUCCAAAGUCUUCGAAGGCUUUAGGAGAGGAGACUUGUAUAUUGUUGAUUUCUCUACAGGACCGCAACCAGCC